UACGUAGGGGGCAAGCGUUGUCCGGAAUCAUUGGGCGUAAAGAGCGUGUAGGCGGUCCGGUAAGUCGGCUGUGAAAGUCCAAGGCUCAACCUUGGGAUGCCGGUCGAUACUGCCGGACUAGAGUUCGGAAGAGGCGAGUGGAAUUCCCGGUGUAGCGGUGAAAUGCGCAGAUAUCAGGAGGAACACCAAUGGCGAAGGCAGCUCGCUGGGACGUGACUGACGCUGAGACGCGAAAGCGUGGGGAGCAAACAGG
rnacentral:rRNA from 1 species